rnacentral:rRNA from 1 species
UACAGAGGUCUCAAGCGUUGUCCGGAAUUAUUGGGCGUAAAGAGCUCGUAGGCGGCUUGUCACGUCGAUUGUGAAAGCCCGAGGCUUAACCUCGGGUCUGCAGUCGAUACGGGCUAGCUAGAGUGUGGUAGGGGAGAUCGGAAUUCCUGGUGUAGCGGUGAAAUGCGCAGAUAUCAGGAGGAACACCGGUGGCGAAGGCGGGUCUCUGGGCCGUAAACUGACGCUGAGGAGCGAAAGCAUGGGGAGCGAACAGG